rnacentral:pre_miRNA from 1 species
CGUGAAAUUGCUGGGCCGUACGGUAAGUUUAUCUUUAACUUUACGAGAAACUGCCAAACUGUUUUCCAAAGUAGCUAUACCAUUUUACAUCCCACCAGCAGU